rnacentral:tRNA from 1 species
GGGCCUAUAGUAAAACGGUAUUACGCCUCCAUGGCAUGGAGGAGGUCGGGGUCCGACUCCCCGUAGGUCCACCA